GAUGAAGAACGUAGCGAAAUGCGAUACUUGGUGUGAAUUGCAGAAUCCCGUGAACCAUCGAGUCUUUGAACGCAAGUUGCCCCGAAGCCAUUAGGCCGAGGGCACGCCUGCCUGGGCGUCACACGUCGUUGCCCCCCCAUCUACUCCUUCGGGAUUGCGGGGGGCGGAUGAUGGCCUCCCGUGCGCCUCGCCGCGCGGUUGGCAUAAAUGCCAAGUCCUCGGCGACGCACGCCACGACAAUCGGUGGUUGCGAAACCUCGGUUGCCCGUCGUGUGCGGUCGUCGCGCAUCGAGGGCUCGAAAAAAUUGCCGGGUUCCGGCUCGGCUUUCAACGCGACCCCAGGUCAGGCGGGGUUACCCGCUGAAUUUAAGCAUAUCAAUAAGCGGAGGA
rnacentral:misc_RNA from 1 species